GGCGCGGUAGCCAAGGGGCUAAGGCAACUGUCUGCAAAACAGUUAUUCAGCGGUUCGAUUCCGCUCCGCGCCU
rnacentral:tRNA from 1 species